GUUUAUCAAAAACAUGUCUUUUUGAAUUUAAUUUAAAGUCUAACCUGCCCACUGAAAUUUUAAAUGGCCGCAGUAUUUUAACUGUGCAAAGGUAGCAUAAUCAUUAGUCUUUUAAUUGAAGGCUGGAAUGAAUGGUUGAAUGAAAUAUUAACUGUUUCAUAUAAAUUUUUAGUAGAAUUUUAUUUUUUAGUCAAAAAGCUAAAAUUUAAUUAAAAGACGAGAAGACCCUAUAAAUCUUUAUAUCUUUUUUUUUAAUUAUUAUACAGAUAAUUUAAAUUUUUAUAAAAGCAGAUAUUUUAUUGGGGUGAUAUUAAAAUUUAAAAAACUUUUAAUUAAUAAAAUACAAAAAUUAAUGAAUUUUUGAUCCAUAUAUAAUGAUUAAGAAAUUAAGUUACUUUAGGGAUAACAGCGUAAUUUUUUUAGAGAGUUCAUAUUAAUAAAAAAGUUUGCGACCUCGAUGUUGGAUUAAGAUAAAAUUUAGG
rnacentral:rRNA from 1 species